GGGGGCGGGGCCAACCGGACAGGGGCGGGGUUAGGGGCUGGUUGGGGGCGGGGCGAACCGGCCCCCAGCUCCCCACCCCGGCUCCCCGCGCUGCUCUACUAGCCGGGAAGGCAGCGCCGGCGGCGGCUGCUCUCCUUGCGCUGCCUCCCGCGCGCUUUGCUCCCGCUGCGGGUGGGCUCCGCAGCACCCUGCCGUCCGCGGCCCCGAGCCCAGCGGCGGCCCCCACCACCCUACACCUCCUUUCGGCGGGGGGACGCCCCGGUCUUUGUGGCUCAUCCCAAGGGCUCCCCUCUCCCCACUCCACCCGGCGACUUCCCUGCGGAGCUGGCUGGAGCACCCAACUUUGCCUCCUCGUCCGUCGUCCCCGCUGGGCGCGAACCUGCUCACCUCAGGUCCGGCCGUGAGCCCGGGGACGGUGCGCCUUGGGCUCGAGCCGGCGCACCCCCGCUGCAGCCCGGAGCUCAGCGAGUUGGGGGUAACUCUAGGGAAGUGGUGGGGGGCGGCGGCGGCUGCUGCCUGGACUUCCCUCGCGGGCGCUGAAGAAGACCCUCGCAGCCGCUCUUGACCCCCAGGGCGCCGGAUGACUGGCAUGGGGAACGCGCCUUGCACCUGGUGAGCGACCCCCCCACCCCACCCCGCACCCCGCCCGGUCCCCGCGUGGUCGUAGCUGCAGCCGCGAGCCAGCCGCGUUGAGGGCCAGGACUCGGGGGCGGCAGUUGUCGGCGCGUGGGUCGUGUGGAUCUCGGGAAGGUCGCUCUGCAGGCUCGUGGGACACAGUCCGGGGGUUGCACUUGCUGGAUCGGACUACCCAAUGCGGGGGGGGGGGCACCCACUGUUGAGCAGGUUCGCUGGCUGGAAGUUUGAGUCUCCGCCUUUGCCGAGGUCUGAGCGUGCAGAGGGAAAGAGGGGUAGCUACCCGGUGGGCCCCCGGGCGCGGGGAGAGAGGGCACCCCUCCAAACGCCUCCUUAAGGUGCGCAGCGGAGGUCGCUGCGCGCACCCGGCGCGUGUCCGGGCUCGCGGCGUAAGGAGCUGAGGGCAGGGUCCCGGUGGCCGUCACUUCGCAGUGCCUGCCUGGGGCAAGGUUUUCUGGUCGAGUGACCUGGGCUCUGCGGCGCCCGCGAGAAACCAGGAGGCGGUCGACCCGGGCUUAACUCCUCCGAGCGCUGUUGAUAAGCAGGGAGGGAGACCGAGGCUGGCUGCCGCCCCGAUCGCCGCGGCCGGGGAGGUGUAGACGCCCCGGGAGCCGCCGGCCCGAUGGGCUGGCUGCAACCAGGCCAGUCCCAUUCCGCGGGCAUCUCUCCCGCCGCCCCACCACUUCGCAUCCCCUCCUGGUUCAGGAUUUUGGGUUUGAGAGGCGGAUCCGGGCGCCGAAGGGAGGAUGCGCGGGGGACCCGCGGCCGAAGAGGGGUCUCCCGGGAUCGCUCGCCGCCGUGGCGCCCGGUGCCAGGCCUAGCGUGGUCAGAUUCCGGCUCCCCGGGCUUUGGCGGGAAGCUCGUUCACCUCCUCGUCCUCCUCUCGCUUUGUACCUGGAUGCGGCUGGCUGUUUAGAGUUGGGGUUGAACUUUUCCUGCACUUGCGGCGUCCUGGGGACCCCCGGUAGGGGGCGCCGAGAGCGAGCGCUGGAAGAGGGCCUGAGGAUGCUGGCUGGCUAGGAAGGCUUCCUCUGUGCCCGAAAACAAAAGGAUUACCUCUCCUAGUGAGCUAAAAGAUCAGAAGCCUUGGAAUUAAAGGCUAGGCAAGGAUUCCAGAAUUUAGAGGACACAGUUGAAACUGUCCACUGCGUCUCUCUGUCUGCAAGCAGGGCCUGUUCUGAACCCUCAUGGACAAAUCGUGAUCUGUUACAUUCUUAAAGAG
ensembl:lncRNA